UCAGUAAAUAGGUUGUUGGACAUG
rnacentral:piRNA from 2 species